rnacentral:rRNA from 1 species
UACGGAGGGUGCGAGCGUUGUCCGGAAUCACUGGGCGUAAAGGGCGCGUAGGCGGUUGGGGAAGUCCGUGGUGAAAGCUCGUGGCUCAACUACGAGUCGGCCAUGGAUACUCCUUGACUUGAGCACUGUGGAGGCAGAUGGAAUUCCGGGUGUAGCGGUGGAAUGCGUAGAGAUCCGGAAGAACACCGGUGGCGAAGGCGGUCUGCUGGGCAGUAGCUGACGCUGAGGCGCGAUAGCGUGGGGGAGCAAACAGG